rnacentral:rRNA from 1 species
GAUGAACGCUAGCGGCAGGCUUAAUACAUGCAAGUCGAGGGGCAGCGCAGUGUAGCAAUACAUGGGCGGCGACCGGCAAACGGGUGCGGAACACGUACACAACCUUCCUACAAGUGGGAAUAGCCCAGAGAAAUUUGGAUUAAUACCCCGUAACAUAGCGAUGUGGCAUCACAUUGCUAUUAUAGCUUCGGCGCUUGUUGAUGGGUGUGUGGCUGAUUAGAUAGUUGGCGGGGUAACGGCCCACCAAGUCUACGAUCAGUAGCUGAUGUGAGAGCAUGAUCAGCCACACGGGCACUGAGACACGGGCCCGACUCCUACGGGAGGCAGCAGUAAGGAAUAUUGGACAAUGGACGCAAGUCUGAUCCAGCCAUGCCGCGUGAAGGAUUAAGGUCCUCUGGAUUGUAAACUUCUUUUAUAAGGGACGAAAAAAGGUCUUUCUAGAUCGUCUGACGGUACCUUAUGAAUAAGCACCGGCUAACUCCGUGCCAGCCGCCGCUGUAAUAC